GAUCCUGGCUCGGGACGAACGCUGGCGGCGCGCUUAACACAUGCAAGUCGAGCGAUGAAAUUUUGACAGAUCCCUUCGGGGUGAAGAUAAAAUGGAUUAGCGGCGGACGGGUGAGUAACACGUGAGUAACCUGCCUUAGACAUUGGGAUAGCCUCGGGAAACCGGGAUUAAUACCGAAUAAAAUCACAGAUACACAUGUAUCCAUGAUCAAAACUCCGGUGGUCUAAGAUGGACUCGCGUCCCAUUAG
rnacentral:rRNA from 1 species